rnacentral:misc_RNA from 1 species
GAUGAAAACGUAGCGAAAUGCGAUAAGUAAUGUGAAUUGCAGAAUUCAGUGAAUCAUCGAAUCUUUGAACGCACAUUGCGCCCGUCAGUAUUCUGGCGGGCAUGCCUGUUCGAGCGUCAUUACGCCCCUCAAGUCCCCUGUGGACUUGGUGUUGGGGAUCGGCGAGGCUGGUUUUCCAGCACAGCCGUCCCUUAAAUUAAUUGGCGGUCUCGCCGUGGCCCUCCUCUGCGCAGUAGUAAAACACUCGCAACAGGAGCCCGGCGCGGUCCACUGCCGUAAAACCCCCCAACUUUUUAUAGUUGACCUCGAAUCAGGUAGGACUACCCGCUGAACUUAAGCAUAUCAAUAAGCGGAGGA